rnacentral:misc_RNA from 1 species
UGGGAACAUUCUCAAAGAGUCUCUAAAUGAAUCGAGGUUUUGCAAAGUUUCAUAGUUGAGGUGAACUAUUGAGGUUUGCCCCUUGCUUGCAGCAGCUAAUUCCAUGAGUUCCAGCUGUACAUCCUCUAUAAGAUCCAUAGAUUCCUUUGCAAUUCUGCGAGCAGUUGCCUUCUCAAUUGCAGCUUGUCGCUUCACUGCCUCUCUCUCUCUCUGAAGUUCCUCCUUUUGUCUCCUUUUUUCAGCUCUUAAGUACUCUUUCUGUAAAAA